GUCCUAGCCGUAAACACUGUGAGCUAAAUUUGGCGCAAACUUCGAGUUUACGCCAAAUUGCAACGAAGGUGAAAGCUCACCACCUGGGAAGUAUAGUCGCAAGGCCGAAACUUAAAGGAAUUGGCGGGGGAGCACUACAAGGGGGUGCGGCGUGCGGUUUAAUUGAAUUCAACGCCGGAAAUCUCACCAGGAGCGACGGCAGGAUGAAAGUCAGUCUAAAGGGCUUACUUGACGAGCCGAGAGGUAUUGCAUGGCCGCCGU
rnacentral:rRNA from 1 species